CAAUAGGGCUAGGGGGCUUCACCGCCUACCAACCCCUGAUGAACUCCGAAUGCCAUGACAUCAUACCGGCAGUGAGGCUACGGGUGCUAAGGUCCGUAGCCGAGAGGGGAACAACCCAGACCAACAGCUAAGGUCCCCAAAUAGAUAUUAAGUUGAUUUUAACGAUGUGAGGAUGCAGUGACAGCUAGGAUGUUUGCUUGGAAGCAGCAAUUCAUUUAAAGAGUGCGUAACAGCUCACUAGUCGAGCGUUCUUGCGCGGAAAAUAAUCGGGCAUCAAAUAUCUUACCGAAGCUUUGGAUACCAGUCUAGGACUGGUGGUGGUAGGGGAGCAUUCUAAACUGCAGUGAAGGUGUGUCGUGAGAUGCGCUGGAGUGUUUAGAAAAGCAAAUGUAGGAAUGAGUAACGAUAAAAUAGGUGAGAAACCUAUUCGCCGUAAGACUAAGGAUUCCGGGAUCUAUGUUAAUCAGAACCGGGUUAGUCGGGGCCUAAGGUGUAGCCGAAGGGCGAAGCCGAUGGGAAACAGGUUAAUAUUCCUGUACAUGUAUCAGCUGUGAUGGGGUGACGAAGGAGCGUAAGGUUCGCCCACUGACGGAAUAGUGGGUUGAAGGGAGAAGGCGUUGAAGAUAUAGGCAAAUCCGUAUCUGAGCUGAGACCUGAUAGUACACAAGUCCCUUGGGAUGAGUGAUAGUGACUGUAAGCAUACUUCCAAGAAAAACCUCUAAACUUCAGGCUGACACAUCCCGUACCGUAAACCGACACAGGUAGUCGAGGAGAGUAUCCUAAGGCGCUCGAGUGAUCCGUGGCUAAGGAACUAGGCAAAAUGGUCUCGUAACUUCGGGAGAAGAGACUCCCCUCGUGAGAGGGGACGCAGUGAAGAGGCCCAGGCGACUGUUUAACAAAAACACAGGACUCUGCAAAAUCGUAAGAUGAAGUAUAGGGUCUGACACCUGCCCGGUGCUGGAAGGUUAAGGAAGGGGGUUAGUGCGUAAGUGCGAAGCUCUUAACUGAAGCCCCAGUAAACGGCGGCCGUAACUAUAACGGUCCUAAGGUAGCGAAAUUCCUUGUCGGGUAAGUUCCGACCUGCACGAAUGGUGUAACGAUCUGGGCACUGUCUCAGCUGUGAGCUCGGUGAAAUUGUAGUAUCGGUGAAGAUGCCGAUUACCCGCAACGGGACGGAAAGACCCCGUGAACCUUUACUACAACUUCACAUUGAGCUUGAAUACAGGAUGUGUAGGAUAGGUGGGAGGCUACGAAGCUGUGACGCUAGUCAUGGUGGAGCCAACGUUGAAAUACCACCCUUCCUGUAUUUAGGUUCUAAUCCCUAAAAGGGAAACAGUGUGUGGUGGGUAGUUUGACUGGGGUGGUCGCCUCCAAAAAAGUAACGGAGGCUCGCAAAGGUACACUCAGCAUGGUCGGUAAUCAUGCGAAGAGCGUAUUAGUAUAAGUGUGCUUGACUGAGAGACCGACGGGUCGAUCAGGAACGAAAGUUGGCUAAAGUGAUCCGGUGGUUCCGCAUGGAAGGGCCAUCGCUCAAAGGAUAAAAGGUACUCCGGGGAUAACAGGCUGAUCUCCCCCAAGAGCUCAUAUCGACGGGGAGGUUUGGCACCUCGAUGUCGGCUCGUCACAUCCUGGGGCUGGAG
rnacentral:rRNA from 1 species